rnacentral:rRNA from 1 species
AUACGGAGGAUCCGAGCGUUAUCCGGAUUUAUUGGGUUUAAAGGGAGCGUAGGCGGACUAUUAAGUCAGCUGUGAAAGUUUGCGGCUCAACCGUAAAAUUGCAGUUGAUACUGGUCGUCUUGAGUGCAGUAGAGGUAGGCGGAAUUCGUGGUGUAGCGGUGAAAUGCUUAGAUAUCACGAAGAACUCCGAUUGCGAAGGCAGCUUACUGGACUGUAACUGACGCUGAUGCUCGAAAGUGUGGGUAUCAAACAGGAUUAGAUACCCUGGUAGUCCACACAGUAAACGAUGAAUACUCGCUGUUUGCGAUAUACGGCAAGCGGCCAAGCGAAAGCGUUAAGUAUUCCACCUGGGGAGUACGCCGGCAACGGUGAAACUCAAAUGAAUUGACGGGG